rnacentral:rRNA from 1 species
GCACAAGCGGUGGAUGAUGUGGAUUAAUUCGAUGCAACGCGAAGAACCUUACCUACCCUUGACAUGUCCGGAACUUGCCAGAGAUGGCUUGGUGCCCGAAAGGGAAUCGGAACACAGGUGCUGCAUGGCUGUCGUCAGCUCGUGUCGUGAGAUGUUGGGUUAAGUCCCGCAACGAGCGCAACCCUUAUCAUUAGUUGCUACGCAAGGGCACUCUAAUGAGACUGCCGGUGACAAACCGGAGGAAGGUGGGGAUGACGUCAAGUCCUCAUGGCCCUUAUGGGUAGGGCUUCACACGUCAUACAAUGGUCGGUACAGAGGGUUGCCAAGCCGCGAGGCGGAGCCAAUCCCACAAAGCCGAUCGUAGUCCGGAUUGUUCUCUGCAACUCGAGGGCAUGAAGUCGGAAUCGCUAGUAAUCGCAGGUCAGCAUACUGCGGUGAAUACGUUCCCGGGUCUU